rnacentral:sRNA from 1 species
GAGUUACUGUGCUCUCUUCCAAGGCUGUAGGAGUUCUGGAGCUGCUGGCUGGAGAGGAGGGUGGACCAAGCUCUCCCCAGAAAGACAUCCUGAGAGGACUUGGCAGGCUGGCAAGCGACCCCCAAGCCCAGCCCUGUGGUGGGUGAAUGGGAAGGGGAAGGAAUUAAUGUGGAAUUUCAGAGAACUGAGUGAAAACAGCCAGCAGGCAGCCAACGUCCUCUCGGGAGCCUGUGGCCUGCAGCGUGGGGAUCGUGUGGCAGUGAUGCUGCCCCGAGUGCCUGAGUGGUGGCUGGUGAUCCUGGGCUGCAUUCGAGCAGGUCUCAUCUUUAUGCCUGGAACCAUCCAGAUGAAAUCCACUGACAUAAUGUAUAGGUUGCAGAUGUCUAAGGCCAAGGCUAUUGUUGCUGGGGAUGAAGUCAUCCAAGAAGUGGACACAGUGGCAUCUGAAUGUCCUUCUCUGAGAAUUAGGUUACUGGUGUCUGAGAAAAGCUGCGAUGGGUGGCUGAACUUCAAGAAACUACUAAAUGAGGCAUCCACCACUCAUCACUGUGUGGAGACUGGAAGCCAGGAAGCAUCUGCCAUCUACUUCACUAGUGGGAGCAGUGGUCUUCCCAAGAUGGCAGAACAUUCCCACUCGAGCCUGGGCCUCAAGGCCAAGAUGGAUGCUGGUUGGACAGGCCUGCAAGCCUCUGAUAUAAUGUGGACCAUAUCAGACACAGGUUGGAUACUGAACAUCUUGGGCUCACUUUUGGAAUCUUGGACAUUAGGAGCAUGCACAUUUGUUCAUCUCUUGCCAAAGUUUGACCCACUGGUUAUUCUAAAGACACUCUCCAGCUACCCAAUCAAGAUUAUGAUGAGUGCCCCCAUUGUUUACCGGAUGUUGCUACAGCAGGAUCUUUCCAGUUACAAGUUCCCCCAUCUACAGAACUGCCUCGCUGGAGGGGAGUCCCUUCUUCCAGAAACUCUGGAGAACUGGAGGGCCCAGACAGGACUGGACAUCCGAGAAUUCUAUGGCCAGACAGAAACGGGAUUAACUUGCAUAGUUUCCAAGACAAUGAAAAUCAAACCAGGAUACAUGGGAACGGCUGCUUCCUGUUAUGAUGUACAGGUUAUAGAUGAUAAGGGCAACAUCCUGCCCCCUGGCACAGAAGGAGACAUUGGCAUCAGGGUCAAACCCAUCAGGCCUAUAGGCAUCUUCUCUGGCUAUGUGGACAAUCCUGACAAGACAGCAGCCAACAUUCGAGGAGACUUUUGGCUCCUUGGAGACCGGGGAAUCAAAGAUGAAGAUGGGUAUUUCCAGUUUAUGGGACGGGCAGAUGAUAUCAUUAACUCCAGCGGGUACCGGAUUGGACCCUCGGAGGUAGAGAAUGCACUGAUGAAGCACCCUGCUGUGGUUGAGACGGCUGUGAUCAGCAGCCCAGACCCCGUCCGAGGAGAGGUGAUGGGGAAGCAGUAGCCUGGGGGUGAACACAUAUGAACACAAGGGCAGUGUAGUAUGAUGGUUUAAGAACAGGGACUGUGUGGCUG